ensembl:lncRNA
AGCAGCUAUCCUUUUGCAUUCAGAAGAAAACAGAAUACCUGCAUGCAAAGCCAAUCCCCCCGUAAUAGGACGGCCAUGGUUUCACCUGCACCUGCUGCAAGCAACUCCAGGCUUAGCACAGCUCUGUGCAGCAGGCAGGAGACUCCUGAGAAGGGGCCCCUGGUGGGGGUGGUAGCAAAAGUUCUACCCACAUCAUACCGUUGCAGCACACAAGAGCAGGAUUUAUUACACUACAGAAUCCAGGAACGGCACUGCAUAUUCUCAAGCGCCAUCUACCGGUAUUUUACCUGAGAACUGCUCGUAUGCAUACAAUCACCCUUUAUUUUGAAUUAAGCCCUACAUAAGGAAAAGACAAGGGUGUGAGUGACAUGCCAAAAGAUCCACAGUUACGUGGGAGGGAAGAGAUGCACUGCUUUAGCACUGCAUGUUGGGAAAGGCAUUCAACCUGCACCUGGUCACCUCAACACAUCAGACAUACGCAAAGAUUUAGACUGUAUGUCCGUCAGUGUCGUUCUCGCUCACCUUUGAAGCUUCUGCACUCACUGGAUAACACCUAUGGCAUUCACCAAUUAGGAGAGACAAUGAAGUCACCAUAUGCCAAGAUCCAUGAAGGUGUUCAGACCAUUCAUCUCUGUGCAGAAGACCUAGAAAGCAGCUCUGAAACAGAUUGCAUGUGACACUGGAACUUAAUUCACAUCCAAAGAGCUCUACUUUGCUGAAAGACAUAAUAUCACACAUGUAACAUCAGCUUCUCGUCCUCCUGCCACAGUACAGAUUCCUGUCUGAACUGAUGAAGAAUUAACAAGCCAAUUACACUAUCAGCCUAAUAAACUUGUGAAUGUUCCAGAGCAAGAAAAAUAGCCAGAAGAUUCUAGUCAUUUGAGUCCUGAAUGGUGAACUGUGAAAUGUCCUUACCAUUCUUCAGUCUUAAAAACACACAAGAUGGGAGUUUUUUCUUCAAGCUUUUACUGUAGUAUCAGUAAUGUGUAGUCUGUCACAUAUUUGUAUAGAAAUUUAACAAUCUCUGCGUGC